UAGGGAAUCUUCCGCAAUGGACGAAAGCCUGACGGAGCAAUGCCGCGUGAGUGAAGAAGGUUUUCGGAUCGUAAAACUCUGUUGUUAGAGAAGAACAAGGAUGAGAGUAACUGCUCAUCCCCUGACGGUAUCUAAACAGACAGCCACGGCUAACUACGUGCCAGCAGCCGCGGUAAUACGUAGGUGGCAAGCGUUGUCCGGAUUUCUUGGGCGUAAAGCGAGCGUAGACGGUUUGUUAAGUAUGCGGGG
rnacentral:rRNA from 1 species